rnacentral:sRNA from 1 species
CCUUUAUUUGAAUAUUUAUGAAUGAUGAUGGUCACUGUGUAUUUUUACCGGUGUGGUUUAGACACAGUGACCAUCAUCAUUCAUAAAUAUUCAAA